AAGCGCUCCCGUGUGUCUGGAUAUCUCCCACGUCUUUCGUUCUCCGUCUAUAUCCCGCCAGAAACCCAGGAUAGACAGGUGACGUCGGUGGCCAUCUUCAGCGCGAUGCAGAGCAGCCGCCUGGACCCGUUCAUGCGCAGCCUGGGCGAGGGCUUCGGCCCCACGACCGACACCAUCGCGGUGGCGUUCCCGCGCAACCAGGACGAAGCGCGACUCGAGCUCGAGGCCUUCGAGCGCACCUUUCCACGAGUGCCGGCGCUGGCCAAUCAGGCCACAGAAUUCAACGUGGACGGCCAGUUCGCGCCCAUUGGCCGCCUGAAGCUUAUAUUGCUGCUUAUCAAGCUGCUCGACUAAGAAGGUUCGAGCAAAGGACUUGAGCUUGGCGGCGAGGCACACCGUCAGACGACGGCCGGGCCGUGUUUAUAUCUUUAUGUCGAGAAACAAGAAAAAAAAAAGCGUGACCACAAAGUCUGUGAUUUAUCUUCAGCAUAUCGUCCUUAAUAUUUUCUAGUUAUUCAUUUUUUUAUAUUAGAGCUACAGCGUGGUCUCGCCGCACAAAUACACGAUUCCACCACGGCACGUAUGCUGCACGUGGCAAUAAUUCAACGCUACCCGUAUAGACCAUCCCGAGACCUGACGACAACAGCGAACCACAGAGAUUAACGUAUGAAACGUGCUGCCGGGCUGUUCUUUAAAAAAUGAACUACGUAAUAUUCCGUGAUUCAUUGCCAUGGUGAUGCGGCAUCCUUGAUCCUCAGUCAUCUCUCAUUAUUCGAACGAUACUUCGCAGUUAACUUUUCGUUGUUGACGACACAACCGUUUAGAUGAAAUCAGCA